AGAGUUUGAUCAUGGCUCAGGACGAACGCUGGCGGCGUGCUUAACACAUGCAAGUCGAACGGAAAGGCCCUUCGGGGUACUCGAGUGGCGAACGGGUGAGUAACACGUGGGUGAUCUGCCCUGCACUUUGGGAUAAGCCUGGGAAACUGGGUCUAAUACCGAAUAGGACCACGCGCUUCAUGGUGUGUGGUGGAAAGCUUUUGCGGUGUGGGAUGGGCCCGCGGCCUAUCAGCUUGUUGGUGGGGUAAUGGCCUACCAAGGCGACGACGGGUAGCCGGCCUGAGAGGGUGACCGGCCACACUGGGACUGAGAUACGGCCCAGACUCCUACGGGAGGCAGCAGUGGGGAAUAUUGCACAAUGGGCGCAAGCCUGAUGCAGCGACGCCGCGUGAGGGAUGACGGCCUUCGGGUUGUAAACCUCUUUCAAUAGGGACGAAGCGCAAGCGACGGUACCUAUAGAAGAAGCACCGGCCAACUACGUGCCAGCAGCCGCGGUAAUACGUAGGGUGCGAGCGUUGUCCGGAAUUACUGGGCGUAAAGAGCACGUAGGUGGUUUGUCGCGUUGUUCGUGAAAACUCACAGCUUAACUGUGGGCGUGCGGGCGAUACGGGCAGACUAGAGUACUGCAGGGGAGACUGGAAUUCCUGGUGUAGCGGUGGAAUGCGCAGAUAUCAGGAGGAACACCGGUGGCGAAGGCGGGUCUCUGGGCAGUAACUGACGCUGAGGAGCGAAAGCGUGGGGAGCGAACAGGAUUAGAUACCCUGGUAGUCCAA
rnacentral:rRNA from 1 species